UACGUAGGGGGCUAGCGUUGUCCGGAAUCAUUGGGGGUAAAGCGCGUGUAGGCGGUCCGGUAAGUCCGCUGUGAAAGUCGGGGGCUCAACCCUCGGAUGCCGGUGGAUACUGUCGGGCUUGAGUACGGAAGAGGCGAGUGGAAUUCCUGGUGUAGCGGUGAAAUGCGCAGAUAUCAGGAGGAACACCAAUUGCGAAGGCAGCUCGCUGGGACGUUACUGACGCUGAGACGCGAAAGCGUGGGGAGCAAACAGG
rnacentral:rRNA from 1 species